UGUGAUAGAGCAACAGCCACCUGCUUAGAAGAUAAAAUUUCACAAAUCAGACAGAAACAAAGAAUCAUUAUUUGCUGCUUUAGAUGGUAUAAUCUCUUCUUUCACUCCCACUUAAAAUGAUGUACCUUGCAAGCUGCACAUGACUUCACAGUUCUCAACAAACUUCAGUCAACAAUUCUAAGUUGUCUAAGCACCCGUAUAAGUGCAAUUCUAUUAUUUAAUUGGGAAAAUUGAUGAAGCAAAAAAAUUGAUGAUUAGUAGAAUGCUCUCUCCUGUUUCUUACUCCUCAUCCCUAUCUUUCCCUUCUCUACCCUAAUUUCUUCCUUUCUUGACACUUGAUUUCCUUUUUCUUCCCUUUUUAUCUUUUCCCCUGCUUUCUCUAUUCAAAAUUUUUCUUCCUUUUCUCUCUAUUCUAUCCUUCUCUUCAGUGGGAAGUUCUCCUCCUAUUUUCUUUCAUCUGACUUCUUUCCUCUCUUGUACUAUUUAUUCUACUUCUAAACCAUUAGAAAAAUCUCUUCCCCUUUAUUUUAAUUUGGGUACACCAUGCAAACUGCAAAAUGGUUUUCUAGUACCAAGUGCCAACAAAAUACAAUGCACUGGCAUUAACAUAUUGUUAACAUAAGAAAAAACUAUCCAUUUUUUGCAAAAUGUAGUUAGGGUGAGCAGCCAACACUUCCAAAAAUUGAACUUACGGCCAAUUAUGACCUUGAAUAGACCUUAAAAAUUAAUAAAAACUAAUAAUGCAGCACUUAGUAUAAGUAUGAACUAUGAAGUCCAUACAUGAACUCAUAUAGCAGAUAAAAUAAUGGCAAAUAUGCAUAUCACUAAAGAUGAACUGGAAAUACGAUACGCAACGCAAGCAAUGGCAAGAUAAUAAAUUAAGUCCACUUAACCUGAUCUGCGACUACUUCAAC
rnacentral:misc_RNA from 1 species